CCUACGGGUGGCAGCAGUGAGGAAUAUUGGUCAAUGGACGAGAGUCUGAACCAGCCAAGUAGUGUGAAGGAUGACUGCCCUAUGGGUUGUAAACUUCUUUUAUAUGGGAAUAAAAUGUUCCACGUGUGGGAUUUUGUAUGUACCAUAUGAAUAAGGAUCGGCUAACUCCGUGCCAGCAGCCGCGGUAAUACGGAGGAUACGAGUGUUAUCCGGAUUUAUUGGGGUUAAAGGGAGCGUAGGUGGAUUGUUAAGUCAGUUGUGAAAGUUUGCGGCUCAACCGUAAAAUUGCAGUUGAAACUGGCAGUCUUGAGUACAGUAGAGGUGGGCGGAAUUCGUGGUGUAGCGGUGAAAUGCUUAGAUAUCACGAAGAACGCCGAUUGCGAAGGCAGUUCACUGGACUGCAACUGACACUGAGGCUCGAAAGUGUGGGUAUCAAACAGGAUUAGAUACCCUUGUAGUC
rnacentral:rRNA from 1 species